rnacentral:rRNA from 1 species
UACGUAGGGUGCAAGCGUUGUCCGGAAUUAUUGGGCGUAAAGAGCUCGUAGGCGGUCUGUCGCGUCGGAUGUGAAAAUCCAGGGCUCAACCCUGGACCUGCAUUCGAUACGGGCAGACUAGAGUUCGGCAGGGGAGACUGGAAUUCCUGGUGUAGCGGUGAAAUGCGCAGAUAUCAGGAGGAACACCGAUGGCGAAGGCAGGUCUCUGGGCAGUAACUGACGCUGAGGAGCGAAAGCGUGGGGAGCGAACAGG